rnacentral:rRNA from 1 species
GAUGAACGCUGGCGGCGUGCCUAAUACAUGCAAGUCGAGCGAACAGACGAGGAGCUUGCUCCUCUUACGUUAGCGGCGGACGGGUGAGUAACACGUUGAUAACCUACCUAUAAGACUGGGAUAACUUCGGGAAACCGGAGCUAAUACCGGAUAAUAUAUUGAACCGCAUGGUUCAAUAGUGAAAGACGGUUUUGCUGUCACUUAUCGAUUGAUCCGCGCCGCAUUAGCUAGUUGGUAAGGUAACGGCUUACCAAGGCAACGAUGCGUAGCCGACCUGAGAGGGUGAUCGGCCACACUGGAACUGAGACACGGUCCAGACUCCUACGGGAGGCAGCAGUAGGGAAUCUUCCGCAAUGGGCGAAAGCCUGACGGAGCAACGCCGCGUGAGUGAUGAAGGUCUUCGGAUCGUAAAACUCUGUUAUUAGGGAAGAACAAAUGUGUAAGUAACUAUGCACGUCUUGACGGUACCUAAUCAGAAAGCCACGGCUAACUACGUG